GAUGAACGCUGGCGGCGUGCCUAAUACAUGCAAGUCGAGCGAACAGACGAGGAGCUUGCUCCUCUGACGUUAGCGGCGGACGGGUGAGUAACACGUGGAUAACCUACCUAUAAGACUGGGAUAACUUCGGGAAACCGGAGCUAAUACCGGAUAAUAUAUUGAACCGCAUGGUUCAAUAGUGAAAGACGGUUUUGCUGUCACUUAUAGAUGGAUCCGCGCCGCAUUAGCUAGUUGUUAAGGUAACGGCUUACCAAGGCGACGAUGCGUAGCCGACCUGAGAGGGUGAUCGGCCACACUGGAACUGAGACACGGUCCAGACUCCUACGGGAGGCAGCAGUAGGGAAUCUUCCGCAAUGGGCGAAAGCCUGACGGAGCAACGCCGCGUGAGUGAUGAAGGUCUUCGGAUCGGAAAACUCUGUUAUUAGGGAAGAACAAAUGUGUAAGUAACUAUGCACGUCUUGACGGUACCUAAUCAGAAAGCCACGGCUAACUACGUG
rnacentral:rRNA from 1 species